rnacentral:lncRNA from 1 species
AACCUGCUGUGAUUGGAAAAUGGAUAUUCCAUUGUCUGCUGUAGGAGUACAAAUUCCUGCAGAUUCAGGAUAGCCUCUUUCUUGGUUUGGCAAGCUCCUACUUUCCUAUAAUCUGUAAAAUAGGGAUAACAUCUCUAUACCAGAAUUGAACUGAUAUUGAAUUAUAGGAGAUAGAUUUGAGUUUAUACACAGAUUAGCCAUAACGUCUCAAUGAAUGGCCUUUACCUUCUUUGCCUGCCUUGGCUGGAGCAGAGAAAAAGUAUGACUGUUGGCUACCAUGGCGGACAGUAAAUGCUCUUUGGCUGACGGAAGUGUGCUCUUUGGAUGCCCACAUCCCCGCUUUCCACCCUCUGCUCUCCCUUCUGCAGUGUUAGGUGUGCAGCAGACACUGUCCUGAGUCUGUGUACUGUCCCCCUCCUAAUGCAUGGAAGAUCCUGGGGGAGGCGGGCAGAAGCUGCUCUGCGUGAGUGAAGGAGCCUGACUCACCACUCAAUAGCUGUGUGGCUUUGGGAAUAGUCCUUGUUUUCUUGAGGCUUCGGUUUCCCCUCAUGCUAAUGGGAGGCUAGAUUAGGGGCUCCUGGCCUCUCCCUACCAGGUCCGAAACCCUCAAUUCUCUGACUCUGUCUCCCCCCACCAUUUUGCUCAGUCCAGGCUCUGGACCCCACUGGUACAGAAUCAACAUUUGGUGAGUAGAACGUUGGCACACUUUUUUUAUGCAAUCAUUUCCUAUUUUCCUUUUUAAUAGGCUCUUUAAAUCAAAUACCCUUCAGAAACCAAAAGGGAAAAAAACGGCAAAUUACCCAAACGCCACCAGAUCACUGGUACCUAUUCAUGAUCAUUGGGCCUUUCCAGGGACCUCGAAUUCCCCAUGCAAAGCCAAAUAACUGCGGAAAGAAAUGUCCCUAGUGAGGCUGCGUGGCAGAGAGAAUGGUAGGCUGCAAACCCACUGGAUGACUCUGGUCCCAAAACCCACCAGACCCUUUAGAGUCACUGAUCGCCUCAUGAUGAAAGAAAGCCCUGUUUCAUGAAACGAGGACCAAGAAAAGGGUUAAGCCCUGAACGGUUUGUUUCCUCAGAUGCUGCCUGCCCUAGAAUCUGGGAUUAACUCCGGCCAUUAAUAUUUUAAGCAACCAAUUUGACAUUUUUCCAUUUAAUUAACUUGCAUACAUAUGAGAACAGGGUUUUGAGAGUACCGUGACAUUUAAACAAAGUCACUGAAGUUUUCCCAUUUCUGAAGGAGUGCUGUUCUUUUCCUUGCCUUUUUUCUUUUCUGCUCCAUUUCUGUUUUGCAUUCCUGAUUCUGAGGCUGGCUUAUUAGCUCAGAGAAAUGACGGAAUUUCCCAAAGCAAAUGUCCAAAGCCUCAACCUAGGUGACGUGGGUGGGCUGCGGCUCUUUUAAACUCGAUCCCGCUCUUUUCCAAGCCUUUGUACAAAUGGCGUUUCAAUCAGAGCAGGCCCACGUCACAGGCUAAUGUUUUCCUCUUGCCACACCAUCCCCUGGUGGGAGCGGAGGAGGGGCGGCGGGGGUGCAGAAUGUCGAUCCAAUGUAACCAUCUCCGCAGAAGCGCUGGGCUUUCAAGAGGGAAACAAUAGCUCAGUGAGGAGUCUCUUCCAAAUGAUAUGCAAUUGCUGUCAUGGCAUCAAGUAAUGAAGAAAUAAGGGAAAAGAGACAAAUAGUGUGUAUCCAUUGAGGGCUGGUGUGGGGGGACUGGGCAGAGAGGCUCACUCCAUGUUCCGCAAUUGAAAAAUUGCCCCCUAAUUAGCUCCCACCCCAGAGAAUUCAUGAGUUCUCUGUGCCAUCCAAUCCCCAGCCGGCCAAGUCACAGAACGUGCAGCCCUUAAUUUUACUGCUGGUUUCAGAAGGGGUUGUGCGGUCUCCAAGUGCUCUGACAGAAUGAGACACUUCGGCUCGCCCAGCCCUCAGAAAGGACCCAUUACUUCAUACUUUCAUCUGCCAUAAUUAAUCACAGAUUUUCUCUGCCUAUCCACUGCUCUGGCUGCUCUCCCCAGAUGAACCUGGGUGCUCCUAGCUCCAGCUUAUCCAUGGUGGUGGCCAGGCCAGCCAGGCUCAGAUGGCACAGGGGCAGCAAUCCCGGAGGCAAAUCAGUGCCCCUCCUCCUCGCAGGCAUCUUGGAUCCCGCAUUGAAAGUGAAAGCCCAUUGCAAGCUCAUAGUCCUCUGGAGAAACUCCGUGUCUCCCUUUCUACCCACACUCAGGAUAUUCCUUGGGGAUGUCUGCUGAGGCCAUCAGACUUUCAGAAGAAAACACCCCCUUCCCCGUCCCCCGUAAGACAGGAGCAUCCUCAUUCUCCUCCAUCCCUCGCCCUGGGCCUGGGUUUAAAUCCCAGCUCUGCGACCUCAUUUGCUGCAUGAUCUUGGGAAAGUGACUUGGUCCACCUGAGCAUGAGUUUUUCCUUUUGUAAAAUGGAGCUAAGGGUGCCUACCAUUCAGGAAACGAUGGUGCCUGGAGGACGCCAUGGGUAAAUGACCUGUGUACCGUUGCGGUGUACCUGUGCACCACCUCUUGAUCCUUCUAUGUAAAGUGAGGGCAAUAAACCUACCUUCCCACUAGGGUUUAAUGAAAAUUGAGUAAAGAAUGCCUUGCACCAAGGUGGUAUCCAGCAAAUAUUUCAAUUGAAUUGAACUGAAUCGUACAUAAUUGGUUCAUUCAUUCCUUUAAUCCACCAGCUAAUAGCUGUUGAGUGACUGCUUUUGGUCAGACACUUUGUUUGGCAUGAGAUAUACCAAGAGGAAGGCGACAGACUUGAUUCAUGCCCUCAGGAGCUUCCAUUCUAGGAGAAAACACAAUGAAAAAUAUUUUUUAAAAAAUCACACGCGUCGUAAAAAGUUCUAUUUAAAAAAAAUAACGUAGAUCUAGGCUAACGGGUGCAUGGUGACUUUGAAAUGAACCCUAGAUGCUGAAGAGACAAGCAUGUGAGGAAUAAUAGGGAAAAGCACUCUAAGCAGAGGGAACAGCAUGGGAGAAGCAGAAUGAAUCUUAAUGUAUUCCAGGCACUGAGAACAGGUGAUUAGUCAGGGUACAUAUUUCUAGCUGCUGGAGCACAUCUAGUGAGCACAAAUCUCAGUGGUUCCGCACAGUAAAUGUUUAUUCCUCCUCCUUAUUUUAGCUGCUCUACCAUUCCCUAUGGUCUCCUUGAACUGGAUCCUGCCCUAUCCCAUGAUGCCCCAUGCAUUCUAGGAUAUUCCUUACACUCCAGUUUGGAUUUUAUUCAGUGAGAAUGGCAAGCCAGUCAAAAGUGAUGAUAUGAUCUGAUUUGUAUCUUAAGUUCUGCCUGCUAUGAGGGGAACAUAUCUGCAGAGGGCAAUGAUGCUCCCUUGCAGGUACCCUGGAUUUGGGUGGUGAGAAAAAGGAUGGAGAGAAAGUGACAGAUGCAAGAGAUGGCAUCCCCAUUGGAACUGGUUUCAGUCUUGCCGGCUGGCAAGCCGACAGGCCCCUGCUGAUUGCCUAGGGUAUGGGACAGUGCUGCAAAAGAUUAGAGAAAACAUAAGAGCACGGGGCAAGGCAGCUAGCUGUGCAGCAUAAUUUCAGAAAUGACCACCUGGGCCAAUAGCUGGGAGUCCAUUCCUUUCUGGACCUUUGGCUUCCUGGCUCGGUGCAGCACCAGACCCUCCCCAGGCCCUGUUUUCACUGGGGUUAGAGAGGUUAACAUUCAGCCAGGCCGGUUCCCACUGGUCCCAGUGCAGGUGGCCAGAGGGCAGCGGGGAGGGGGUGGCCAGUCUGUGCAGAACAUGACCACUCCCAGAGCACAGGCUCCAAGUUGUUCCAUUUAUUCCUCCCAACAGGGCUGGGAGGAUGGAGUUAUCAUUGACCCCAUUUUACAGACAAAGAAACAGACUCAUGUUGCUCCUGUGACUUGCCCGUGGCUACCCUGUUGGUGACAGCCCCAGGACUGAACACAGGCCUCCUGUUUGUUCUGUUGGCAGGAUUGUCCAGACUCACUUGGAGGCCAAAAGAUGAGGGAGGAUCUGCCUGCGUCUCUUGGCGGUCCAUGCUUCCUGCCCACGUGGCAGUGGCCACCCUGAACUGGAUGCUGCCCUGUUCCCUGAUGCACAGUUUGUCCCACGGAGCAGUGCCUUUGGACAGGCCACUGGCUUACCAACCUGGCUGAUCUUUGCAAUUACCUGGUAGUCUUUAAACAUACACUAUCCUAGCCACUCCAGAUGCAUCAAAGGAGAAUCUUUAAGUGGAUGGGGACCUGGCAGCCGUGUUUUUAAAAUCUCUCCAGGUGCUCAGAUAAAAACACUAGACAUUGUCAGUGGAUGCAUGAGUGGGUUAAAUGAGGCUCAGGGAUGGAGCAUCAUUAAGGCAUGAAUGAGUGACAGGGUCAGGAGAAGAAAAUGAGUCUCCUGCCUUUCUCAUCUCUUUUUUCCCCAGGACUGUAUGAUGCUCUGCAAGAGGUUAUGGGAAAAUCCAUCCUUAUCAAUGAUCUGAAAAUGUCGGAGCUGGGCAGGAGCUUUGAGGUUAUCUUUCCAACACAGUGGCUCCCAAUUGCCUGCUGGACAAGCUGUGUCAGAGUUACACGCGGUGCAUUUUACGACACGGGCUCCUGGCCUCCCCCUGUACCUACUGACCAUAUCAGCAGUGGGAAGACCUUGGAAUCUAUAUUUUCAAAGUCUCUCUGAAGAGACACCAUGGGCUCUGCAAAGGCUGAGAUGAUAACUUAUGCUCCGGAUCUCCCCAGGGCCGUGUUCAAGGAGUCAAGAGGAAGUCUGUGGUUAGACAUCUUCGGGUGGAGACAUACACAAACACAGUGGCUAGAAAUGGGCUCCGCGGAUUCAGCUUUCCCAGCCCUGUGGGGAGUUGGGGGGUGUGGGGUGGGGGGAUGGACGCAUGCAACUGAACAAAUGAGAAGGAGGGAGGGGGGAGGGAGGGAAGGACGACUGAACCUCUACCCCUGGGCCUCCUAGAUGUGCAGCAGCACCCACCAUUCUCUGCCUCCAGCCCACCUCUGUUUCCCAUUCUGAUGGUCGGAUACUGUGAUCCACUUUUUCCUCAAAGGCUGAGGCCACCUGAUUCACCUUCACGCCAACCCAGAGACUGCAUAUAAAAGAUCCCUGUGAAUUCAAUGUCCAGCUCUGUGGUGGGCACGGCCAGCUGCCACACACCAUGGACCCUAGCCUCUCCUUUUCCAUCAAAAUCCUGGGUUUGAUCAGGCUAGUGGGGGGCCUGGCUACAAAUGCUCACAUCUCUGACCACCCGCAUACCUAGAAGCAGGCCCUUUGAUUAGAGUUCAGGCCAAUGAGCUAUGAUAUUUCUAAGAAAAUACUUUCAUUCAUAAUAUAGGCACCAACUCUUCCUCCUCCUUGCCCCCCACGCCACCUUUUUUGCCUAGAACUUGAACACAAGGCCUGGAGGUGUAGCAGCCACCUUGUGGUUAUGAGGCAGCCGCAUGAGGAUGACAUUAGUGCAGAAAAACAGAAAGAGGCCAGAGGCUCAGUGGCAUUCUUAUAUCACCUUCUACCCUGUACAGACUCACCAGAGACUUCUAAUUUCAUGAGAAAAAUAAAGCUUCAGCUGGUCAAACCA